GCUGGGGGGAGACGCAGUGUCACAUUACUCUGAAGAGGUGAUAGGAGCGGUCGGGGGGAUGAGGGCGACUACGCCCCCUGUCCCCCAGAAAGCAUCCUGAGCAAGAUACCCCUAACCCUUGAGCAAGAUGCCCUACCCCAGCUCAGGUCUGGGACAACAGGCAGUUCACGGUCUUUUGCUUCAUACUUGUUUCCACCAAUCAUGUUCCUGGACUAGGGGAUCACUAGGGGGUCUAUAAACACAAACUCAGCAAGCUGUAGUAAACUUUCAAAAAGUGUCUGUUAAAGGUUUCAAAUCAACAGUAGACCACUGUAGAAACUUUUUUUUUUUUUUUUCAAUCACCUUCUGAAAUCUUCAUCCAGUCAUGCAUAAAGGUGUGAGUUAUGCUAUGAGUCCUUAACAACAACAAACAGGAAACGGGCUUAAGUCCACCCCUUGACGUUUUUUGUUUCUAACCAGGGCUCUUUGACGUCUCCGCCAAGAAGUUCUGCUGUAACCCACUAGGUCUGCUGGACCAGAGGUUCUGCUAUAACACAGUAGGACUGCUGGAUCAGAGGAUCUGCUAUAACACAGUAGGACUGCUGGACCAGAGGUUCUGCUAUAACACAGUAGGACUGCUGGAUCAGAGGAUCUGCUAUAACACAGUAGGACUGCUGGACCAGAGGUUCUGCUAUAACACAGUAGGACUGCUGGAUCAGAGGUUCUGCUAUAACACAGUAGGACUGCUGGAUCAGAGGUUCUGCUAUAACACAGUAGGACUGCUGGAUCAGAGGUUCUGCUAUAACACAGUAGGACUGCUGGACCAGAGGUUCUGCUAUAACACAGUAGGACUGCUGGACCAGAGGUUCUGCUAUAACACAGUAGGACUGCUGGACCAGAGGUUCAAAAGCAGGAGCCAAACGUCACAUAUCAACACUUUCACACACAUCUCCUGGUUUCAU